rnacentral:rRNA from 1 species
GUGUCAGCCGCCGCGGUAAGACGAAGGUGGCGAGCGUUAUUCGGAAUCACUGGGCUUAAAGGGCGCGUAGGCGGAACGGCAAGUGUCUUGUGAAAUCCCCCGGCUUAACCGGGGAAUGGCUGGGCAAACUGCCGUUCUUGAGGCAAGCAGGGGUGCGUGGAACUCUUGGUGGAGCGGUGGAAUGCGUAGAUAUCAAGAGGAACGCCGAUGGUGAAGACAGCGCACUGGGCUUGUCCUGACGCUGAGGCGCGAAAGCGUGGGGAGCAAACAGGAUUAGAUACCCUGGUAGUCCACGCCCUAAACGAUGCCUACUAGGUUGUGGAGGUUCUGACGCCUUCGCAGCCGAAGCAAAAGUGUUAAGUAGGCCGCCUGGGGAGUACGGUCGCAAGGCUAAAACUUAAAUGAAUUGACGGGG